AACGAACGCUGGCGGCAUGCCUAACACAUGCAAGUCGAACGAGACCUUCGGGUCUAGUGGCGCACGGGUGCUUAACGCGUGGUAACCUGCCCUUAGGUUCGGAAUAACUCCCCGAAAGGGGUGCUAAUACCGGAUAAUGUCUUCGGACCAAAGAUUUAUCGCCUUUGGAUGGGCCCGCGUUGGAUUAGCUAGUUGGUAGGGUAAAAGCCUACCAUGGCGACGAUCCUUAGCUGGUCUGAGAGGAGGAUCAGUCACACUGGGAAUGAGACACGGCCCAGACGGCUACGAGAGGGAGCGGUGGGGAAUAAAGGACAAUGGGCGAAAGCCUGAUCCAGCAAGGCCGGGUGAGUGAUGAAGGCCUUAGGGUUGUAAAGCUCUUAUACCCGGGAUGAGAAUGACAGUACCGGGAGAAUAAGCGCCGGCUAACUCCGUG
rnacentral:rRNA from 1 species